AGCGGCGGAUGGAUGAGUAACACGUGGGGAACCUGCCCCUAAGUCUGGGAUACCAUUUGGAAACAGGUGCUAAUACCGGAUAAUAAAGCAGAUCGCAUGAUCAGCUUUUGAAAGGCGGCGUAAGCUGUCGCUAAGGGAUGGCCCCGCGGUGCAUUAGCUAGUUGGUAAGGUAACGGCUUACCAAGGCGACGAUGCAUAGCCGAGUUGAGAGACUGAUCGGCCACAUUGGGACUGAGACACGGCCCAAACUCCUACGGGAGGCAGCAGUAGGGAAUCUUCCACAAUGGACGCAAGUCUGAUGGAGCAACGCCGCGUGAGUGAAGAAGGUUUUCGGAUCGUAAAGCUCUGUUGUUGGUGAAGAAGGAUAGAGGUAGUAACUGGCCUUUAUUUGACGGUAAUCAACCAGAAAGUCACGGCUAACUACGUGCCAGCAGCCGCGGUAAUACGUAGGUGGCAAGCGUUGUCCGGGUUUAUUGGGCGUAAAGCGAGCGCAGGCGGAAAAAUAAGUCUAAUGUGAAAGCCCUCGGCUUAACCGAGGAACUGCAUCGGAAACUGUUUUUCUUGAGUGCAGAAAAGGAGAGUGGAACUCCAUGUGUAGCGGUGGAAUGCGUAGAUAUAUGGAAGAACACCAGUGGCGAAGGCGGCUCUCUGGUCUGCAACUGACGCUGAGGCUCGAAAGCAUGGGUAGCGAACAGGAUUAGAUACCCUGGUAGUCCAUGCCGUAAACGAUGAGUGCUAAGUGU
rnacentral:rRNA from 1 species